rnacentral:rRNA from 1 species
GACGAACGCUGGCGGCGUGCUUAACACAUGCAAGUCGAGCGGUAAGGCCCUUCGGGGUACACGAGCGGCGAACGGGUGAGUAACACGUGGGUGACCUGCCCUCAGCUCUGGGAUAAGCCUGGGAAACUGGGUCUAAUACCGGAUAUGACCACAUGUUGCAUGGUGUGUGGUAGAAAGUUUUUCGGCUGGGGAUGGGCCCGCGGCCUAUCAGCUUGUUGGUGGGGUGAUGGCCUACCAAGGCGACGACGGGUAGCCGGCCUGAGAGGGCGACCGGCCACACUGGGACUGAGACACGGCCCAGACUCCUACGGGAGGCAGCAGUGGGGAAUAUUGCGCAAUGGGCGGAAGCCUGACGCAGCGACGCCGCGUGGGGGAUGACGGCCUUCGGGUUGUAAACCUCUUUCGACCCCGACGAAUUUGGACGGUAGGGGUAGAAGAAGCACCGGCCAACUACGUGCCAGCAGCCGCAGUAA